AACGAACGCUGGCGGCAUGCCUAACACAUGCAAGUCGAACGAUUGCCUUCGGGUGAUAGUGGCGCACGGGUGCGUAACGCGUGGGAAUCUGCCCUUAGGUUCGGAAUAACAGCUGGAAACGGCUGCUAAUACCGGAUGAUAUCGCGAGAUCAAAGAUUUAUCGCCUGAGGAUGAGGCCGCGUUGGAUUAGGUAGUUGGUGGGGUAAAGGCCUACCAAGCCGACGAUCCAUAGCUGGUCUGAGAGGAUGAUCAGCCACACUGCGGCUGAGACACGGCCCAGACUCCUACGGGAGGGAGCAGUGGGGAAUAUUGGACAAUGGGGGCAAGCCUGAUCCAGCAAUGCCGCGUGAGUGAUGAAGGCCGUAGGGUAGUAAAGCUCGUUUACCCGGGAAGAUAAUGACGGUACCGGGAGAAUAAGCCCCGGCUAACUCCGUG
rnacentral:rRNA from 1 species